UACAGAGGUGGCAAGCGUUGUUCGGAAUUACUGGGCGUAAAGCGCACGUAGGCGGCUUUGUAAGUUAGAGGUGAAAGCCCAGGGCUCAACCCUGGAAUUGCCUUUAAGACUGCAUCGCUUGAACAUCGGAGAGGUAAGUGGAAUUCCGAGUGUAGAGGUGAAAUUCGUAGAUAUUCGGAAGAACACCAGUGGCGAAGGCGACUUACUGGACGAUUGUUGACGCUGAGGUGCGAAAGCGUGGGUAGCAAACAGG
rnacentral:rRNA from 1 species